ensembl:snRNA U6 U6 spliceosomal RNA
UUGCUUCGGCAGCACAUAUACUAAAAUCGGAACAGCACAGAGAAGAUUACCACAGCCCCUGAGCAGGGAUGACACGCAGAUUCGCGAAGCAUUUCACAUUUGU